UAGUUUGAUCCUGGCUCAGGACGAACGCUGACGGUGUGCUUUAGACAUGCAAGUCGAACGAGAAAGCCCUUCGGGGUUAGUAAAGUGGCGAACGGGUGCGUAACACGUGGGCAAUCUGCCCCUCGCAGGGGGACAACUGGAGGAAACUCCAGCUAAUACCCCGUAAGCUUUCAGGGUCGCAUGGCCUUGUAAGGAAAGGUAGCUUCGGCCAUCCGGCGAGGGAUGAGCCCGCGGUACAUUAGCUAGUUGGUGGGGUAACGGCCUACCAAGGCGACGAUGUAUAGCUGGUCUGAGAGGAUGAUCAGCCACACUGGGACUGAGACACGGCCCAGACUCCUACGGGAGGCAGCAGUCGGGAAUCUUGCACAAUGGGCGAAAGCCUGAUGCAGCAACACCGUGUGAGCGAGGAAGGCCUUCGGGUCGUAAAGCUCUGUUGUUGGGGAAGAAGGGCGAAGGGUUAAUAGCCCCUAGCUUGACGGUACCCUUCCAGAAAGCCCCGGCUAACUACGUGCCAGCAGCCGCGGUGAUACGUAGGGGGCGAGCGUUGUCCGGAAUUAUUGGGCGUAAAGAGCGUGUAGGCGGUUCGGUAAGUCUGUCGUGAAAACCUGGGGCUCAACCCCGGGCGUGCGAUGGAUACUGCCGAGCUAGAGGGUGGUAGAGGCGAGUGGAUUCCCAGUGUAGCGGUGAAUGCGC
rnacentral:rRNA from 1 species